rnacentral:rRNA from 1 species
CAGUCGCCGCGGGAAUACGUAGGUGGCAAGCGUUGUCCGGAGUUAUUGGGCGUAAAGGGCUCGCAGGCGGUUUCUUAAGUCUGAUGUGAAAGCCCCCGGCUCAACCGGGGAGGGUCAUUGGAAACUGGGAAACUUGAGUGCAGAAGAGGAGAGUGGAAUUCCACGUGUAGCGGUGAAAUGCGUAGAGAUGUGGAGGAACACCAGUGGCGAAGGCGACUCUCUGGUCUGUAACUGACGCUGAGGAGCGAAAGCGUGGGGAGCGAACAGGAUUAGAUACCCCGGUAGUCCCUGUCUCUUAUAC